CGCUAGUAAUCGCAGAUCAGAAUGCUGCGGUGAAUACGUUCCCGGGUCUUGUACACACCGCCCGUCACACCAUGGGAGUCGGGAAUGCCCGAAGUCAGUGACCCAACCGCAAGGAGGGAGCUGCCGAAGGCAGGCUCGAUAACUGGGGUGAAGUCGUAACAAGGUAGC
rnacentral:rRNA from 1 species